GGAGAGGUGGAUGAGUGGUUUAAGUCGCACGCCUGGAAAGCGUGUUUAGCCGUCAGGCUAACGCGGGUUCGAAUCCCGCCCUCUCCGCCA
rnacentral:tRNA from 1 species